AAUCUUCCGCAAUGGACGCAAGUCUGACGGAGCAACGCCGCGUGAGUGAUGAAGGUUCUCGGAUCGUAAAACUCUGUUGUUAGGGAAGAACAAGUACCGUUCGAAUAGGUCGGUACCUUUACGGUACCUAACCAGAAAGCCACGGCUAACUACGUGCCAUCAGCCGCGGUAAUACGUAGGUGGCAAGGGUUAUACGGAAUUAGUGGGCGUAAAGCGCGCGCAGGCGGUUUCUUAAGGUUGAUGUGAAAGCCCACGGCUCAACCGUGGAGGGUCAUUGGAAACUGGGGAACUUGAGUGCAGAAGAGGAGAGUGGAAUUCCAUGUGUAGCGGUGAAAUGCGUAGAGAUAUGGAGGAACACCAGUGGCGAAGGCGACUCUCUGGUCUGCAACUGACGCUGAGGCGCGAAAGCGUGGGGAGCAAACA
rnacentral:rRNA from 1 species